UUUACCUUGGCCAGUAUGUAUUUGUUGAGGUAGUUUACCUUGGCCAGUAUGUAUUUGUUGAGGUAGUUUACCUUGGCCAGUAUGUAUUUGUUGAGGUAGUUUACCUUGGCCAGUAUGUAUUUGUUGAGGUAGUUUACAUUGGCCAGUAUGUAUUUGUUGAGGUAGUUUACCUUGGCCAGUAUGUAUUUGUUGAGGUAGUUUACCUUGGCCAGUAUGUAUUUGUUGAGGUAGUUUACCUUGGCCAGUAUGUAUUUGUUGAGGUAGUUUACCUUGGCCAGUAUGUAUUUGUUGAGGUAGUUUACCUUGGCCAGUAUGUAUUUGUUGAGGUAGUUUACCUUGGCCAGUAUGUAUUUGUUGAGGUAGUUUACCUUGGCCAGUAUGUAUUUGUUGAGGUAGUUUACCUUGGCCAGUAUGUAUUUGUUGAGGUAGUUUACCUUGGCCAGUAUGUAUUUGUUGAGGUAGUUUACCUUGGCCAGUAUGUAUUUGUUGAGGUAGUUUACCUUGGCCAGUAUGUAUUUGUUGAGGUAGUUUACCUUGGCCAGUAUGUAUUUGUUGAGGUAGUUUACCUUGGCCAGUAUGUAUUUGUUGAGGUAGUUUACCUUGGCCAGUAUGUAUUUGUUGAGGUAGUUUACCUUGGCCAGUAUGUAUUUGUUGAGGUAGUUUACCUUGGCCAGUAUGUAUUUGUUGAGGUAGUUUACCUUGGCCAGUAUGUAUUUGUUGAGGUAGUUUACCUUGGCCAGUAUGUAUUUGUUGAGGUAGGGCAUGUAGCCAUGUUUUGACACAGGUCCAUCGUCAUCGUCUUGGAAGUGCUCCUCCAGUGCCACGGGGUCGUGAGGGAUGUUCAACACCGUGUACAGGUUGUGGGAGAGAACCUGCGACAUGCGCGCACACACACACACACACACACAAAUGAAGAAAAUGCCGGUCAAAGGGAGAUUCUCAAUUGGUUCGCUCAACUGCUCUGUCCUCAGUUUUCCUCACCUAGGGCUCCUUUUGAAAAAGCUCAACGGUAACCGAGGAGAAGAAAUGUGGAAACAAUACGUUUUAAUUAAAUUAGACUCUCCUUCUUCACUCGCUCGUAAAUGACAUUUCCAGGGAUAGAAUCCCAAAUUAAAUGUGUAAAGUAUUCAAAAAACACGCGUAGCUAGUUGUGCUAGACAUUUUAUAGAUAAUAUGUAGCAUAUAGUUUUUAAAUGUGCAUACUUAUCUCCAAGCUGAUUUAAAAGGGGGUGUGGCGGAUUUCAAAAAAACUCUUCUGCGAAGGAUACUCGCGCUUCUUCGGUGGGAGGACGUUAUCGAGGGUGCGAGGACACUCCUCCAUUUGAAACUAAUUGACACUAACCUCGACCACUCUACAACUCAGCAGUUUCCGGGUCACCAAGGAGAGAGGACGGAGGAUUCGAGGAGAGGAUGGUCUUUUGGCCAAAUGAUAAUCUCCCAAAAAUGACCCUUUAAAUGUAUUAUGUUACUGUCAAUAUUACAUCUACCAUUCCUAUAUUUAUAUACAGUAUGUAAGUGGUUACUGAAAUAGUUCACAACUUCUAAUCAUCUCAAAUCAUAUGAAAAAACAGAGGUCAAUGAUAAAAACCAAAGCAAGCAGUGUAAACAACAUUGCAGGCCUCUGUUGACUUACACACACACACACACACACACACAGCCCCCUCGGCGUGAGCAUGUCUGGACACCUUCCUGCUCUUUCCUGGGAUUCUCACCAAAGGGAGAACACAACUUGUUUGAACUCGACAGGCCAGAGACUGAGUGAAGGGGGAGAUGACUGAACACACAGCACCUUCUGUUUCUGUUGUACAGUAAACUCGGAUAUAUUGUCAUGUGUACAAGUUGACUGCAGUAAAGGGAGAGGGCCAGUCCUGGACUUUGAAACGAGGGCAUAGGUGACUAUCGAAUGACUUUAAUGCUCCCAUUUCUGUGUGUAGGCUGCCGCGGUUGUGAUUACUCACUGAAAGAGGGUUUCAUGAAUACACACUCAUGGAGGGUGUAUCCAUGUAUUGAAGUCACCAAUGUAUCCAAACUGUGUACCAGUGAGAAUGUUUUCAUCUGCAUGUUUCUCAUAAUGAGCAGUAUUCCUGCAUGAUCCAUGCAAAUUAUUAUUUUUACUGGUGGACUGUUAACUUUCUAAAUGGUAUACAUCCCUAGAUUAACGCUGAAUAAUGUAUUAUAGCCAAUAUAUAACAACUUGUAAGAGGCUAACAAUGUAUUUGAAGGCUAUCUUGAUCAGAUCUUCAAACCUCAAAACGUUUGUUUAUAAGGUUAUCUAAACAAACGAUUAUGUGGAUAUUAUUAUGUGAAUUGUAGACCAUGAGUAACAUGCUGGCGCCAGAGGCACAGAAGCAAUUCAACACCCAUUUCCUGAUUAUAAAAGCUCAGCACUUGGAAAUAUUACACUUCAAAUCUAACCUUCAGCUGGGAUUUCGACACUUUGCCACAUUUCUCCAUGUCCAGCGAUGUGAACGCGUACCAGAUGGACUUGAGUAGUUCGGAUUGCAGUUCCAUUGUGGAGACAGACGUCUUUGCGUCUACAUUCCGAGGCGAGCGGAGUUGUGCACAGCAGUGAUCAGUAUUGCAAACUGAAGUGGAAGCACUUAACGAGAAGGCGAACAGGACACGUUAAGAAAAGGGGUGGAGAAGAGAGGAACAAUUAUGUAACGAAAUUAAGACAAAACCACGCCCCGUUAUUCAGAGAGGCGUUCUACUACGCUCCCAGCGCAGAGACAGUGACCUUCCAAGAACCUUAUAAAGAGGUCUUCCACCGACCGCCAAAACAUCUAUUCUAAGAACAAUGGAAACCUGACGUAUCCAUUACAACAGACGUUAUCAGGAGCCUCCUAUAGAGCUACAACCAUGAAAGACAUUGUGACUUCUGAGGAAGUAACCAGAGAUUAUCUGAUGAACUGACUCUCCAGCAGACGGACGGACAAUUCCAACAGAGAAGACAACAACGAUGUCACGACUCCUACCGAAGGUGGCUCUCCUUCCUGUUCGGGUGGCGCUCGGCGGUCGUCGUCACCGGCCUACUAGCUGCCUCUAACCUUUUCCCCCCUUGUCUGUUUAGUAGUUACACCUGUGUUUAGUUAGGUUGAUUGGUUGGGCUUUAUUAUCCAGCCGGCCCGCCUGCUGGGUGUGCAGGAUUGUUUGCAGUGUACUGUUGUGCACGACUGUAUGUCACGGUUGUCAGUGUAUGUGUGUUUUGCUCUACUGUUUAGUUCCCCGUGUUUUGGGGCAUUUGUUUGGGUUGGCGUCGUUUUCACCGGUGUGGUGGAAUAAAAGUAUAG